CUACGUGCCAGCAGCCGCGGUAAUACGGAGGGUGCGAGCGUUAAUCGGAAUAACUGGGCGUAAAGGGCACGCAGGCGGUGACUUAAGUGAGGUGUGAAAGCCCCGGGCUUAACCUGGGAAUUGCAUUUCAUACUGGGUCGCUAGAGUACUUUAGGGAGGGGUAGAAUUCCACGUGUAGCGGUGAAAUGCGUAGAGAUGUGGAGGAAUACCGAAGGCGAAGGCAGCCCCUUGGGAAUGUACUGACGCUCAUGUGCGAAAGCGUGGGGAGCAAACAGGAUUAGAUACCCUGGUAGUCCACGCUGUAAACGAUGUCGAUUUGGGGGUUGAACUUUGAGUUUGGCGCCCGUAGCUAACGUGAUAAAUCGACCGCCUGGGGAGUACGGCCGCAAGGUUAAAACUCAAAUGAAUUGACGGGGGCCCGCACAAGCGGUGGAGCAUGUGGUUUAAUUCGAUGCAACGCGAAGAACCUUACCUACUCUUGAC
rnacentral:rRNA from 1 species